rnacentral:rRNA from 1 species
AUUGAACGCUGGCGGCAGGCCUAACACAUGCAAGUCGAACGAGUGGCGGACGGGUGAGUAAUGUCUGGGAAACUGCUCGAUGGAGGGGGAUAACUACUGAAAACGGUGGCUAAUACCGCAUACCAUCGGAUGUUCCCAGGUGGGAUUAGCUAGUAGGUGGGGUAAUGGCUCACCUAGGCGACGAGCCCUAGCUGGUCUGAGAGGAUGACCGGCCACACUGGAACUGGGACACGGUCCAGACUCCUACGGGAGGCAGCAUUGGGGAAUAUUGCACAAUGGGCGAAAGCCUGAUGCAGCCAUGCCGCGUGUAUGAAGAAGGCCUUCGGGUUGUAAAGUUCUUUCAGCGAGGAGGCGUUACUCGCAGAAGAAGCACCGGCUAACUCCGUGCCAGCAGCCGCGGUAAUUC